UCCUGUGGCCUAGUGGUUAGAGCGUCCGCCUUGGAUGCGAGAGGUCGUGGGUUCACCGGUCGAGUCAUACCAAAGAAU